CAUGGAUGGGACCCCGUGUGGUGAUUGGUUUUACUGUCACCCUGGGAUUGGAGGGUUUCAGUCGGCCAGAAUGACAGCACCUCAUGGUAAUGUCGAAGCAGGUGAUGUCCGCCACACUUCCUGCCACACCAAUGCCUACACACUUGUUUGUGAGGGGGGCGCAUGCUUGACUGCGUAGGAGAUUGAGCAUUGCAGUGUGCGCAUUAUUGAAUGUUACAAACUAGGGAGAUAAAUAGUAAAGAAGUAAAAUGAUUAAAUGAUUGAACAGAAUAAAGUAAACAAAGGAGUUGUUAUUUUUGUUCCACAGACUGUAUGUCUUGUUCUGUGCUACUUUGCCGCUGACACAUACAUGUUGGUGAUGGAGAGCACAUCAGCUAACAUAGUCUGCCUUUCCAUUGGUGUGGUAGCUUUUGGCCUUAGAGAACUACUUGAUGCAUUUGUGCUGUUCCUUGGCACACUGUGCCACUUGUCAUCCGCUUCCACGUGAGAACAGAUUUAAGUGCUCGCUAUAAAUAAAAAUGAAUAUGGCCGGUGAUUCCAGAGUACAAAACCAUCUGCUUUAACAGGCACCUCUGACUGUAGAUUUGAUGGCACUUGUGCUGGCACCUCCAAAAGCACCACGGUGUUCCCUUGAGCUGUAAAUGUGGGUGAAAUCACUUUAAUAUGUUCCAGUAUCCCAGUUGUUGCACAUCAUCUCACUUGUACAUAUCCUGUGAGACAAGCCCCUGUUUGGAGAUGUCAGUACCAGAGUCAGAGCACUCCCUCUAUAAACCCCCUCCAUUUUGGGCUGCCACUUGUUGGAGAGGGCCAGUUUUCCUCCCCUUUGCUUUCUUCCAGUUGGCUGUAAGCAAUACCAACUCAAUCCAUGUCUGUACAGCACCAAAGGUUUGCCACUUUUCACGGUUUUCUGUAACGUUUGCUACUUUUCAAGAUUUUCCUAUAAACAUCUUCUGCAACCACUCCCUUAGGCCCAGAAUUUGGAUAAAAACUACGGGAAUCCAGCCUAGUCUCUGUUUUACGAAUCAGGGUACCUAGGUGAAGCAAUAAACCGUUCCGGGAUUUGCAGAUAUCCAGCUAACUCAGUAACCCUGCUUCGUGAAAUACAACCCUGGUAAAACAGUGUCCCCAAAAGUGAACAUAAAACGCCUUCCUAAAAUCGAUAUAAUUGUUUGACAAAGACGCCCACGUUGAACUGCAACCUCAACUGCAGAUUUAUCACGAAUCCUCAUACAGGAGAUGGCUGAUGAAUAAAUCCUGAAACAAUAUGCUUAAAUAUCGGUCGCAGGGGGAGGUGGAAAUACUGCUCAAAACCAGAGACUGCGCGUGUCUUUAUGCUGUAAAAUGCGCAAGCAAUUACUGUCAUCUCGUAACUUCUUAGUUUGAUUAAAAAAGAAAGCGAAACCAAAGUGCGAAAAUCUUUACCACUUUCAUUUUAAAACGCGGAGUUGCUGUAAAAAACAACAACCGUCAGUGCUGUAAGAUUACAGGCCUCGGUAUAAAAUCAAAGUUCUGGAAGAAAAUAUCCGAGAGUUAUUUACGGAAAAUUACAGGUAGGUCAGUGGAUUCCGUCAAGCUAAUACAGCUAUUUAUGUAGCCUACCAAUAAAGUAUUGAGUGGGCUUAUCUUUAAGACGUCAGUGUUGUGGGUCUUUCAAGCUUAAGAGUGCUUAUGAGCUUGAAUAGAAAGAGAAAGAUACUAAAUCAGUUUUUUUUCUAACAGAAUUACUGUUUUCUUCAUUCAGUUUGAGAAUGUAAUUACAGUUACUUUCUUUGUAUUCUUGCCAGGUUCUCAAACAUGAGUACAUCUGCGGUGCUGACACAGUGUCCUCGCUGCAAGCAGGAGCAGGCUAAAAUAGUGGGGGAUCAGCGUGCUGUGUGCAGUCUCUGCUCCAAGGCCCUACGACGUGUGUACCAGUUCUGUUGGGCAUGCCGACGGGAAUGGCAGGGGGAGAACUGCAGCAAUACCUGCGACCUUCCUGGAUGUGCCUUACGGGCUGCUCUUCUGUCUGACGUCGUGAUCACCGACCCAGUGAGCUCCGUACUGGGAUGCCCCUUUUUCCGGGCGUGCCCGGCAUGCAAAAACCUUCUGACGCAUUCAGGGGAGGGCUGUCCAUAUAUUGAAUGUCCGCAGUGCUGUACAGGUUUCUGCUUUCGCUGUCUUAGGGAGGAGUGUGAUGGUUAUGUUGGUUAUGAAUUUGAUGAGAAUCCUGAAUCUGAUGAUGAUGAUGAUGAUGAGGAAUACGAUGGAUAUUCAGAUUAUUAUUGUGAUGUUGUUAAACCGUGCACUGUGAUAGAUAAUAGCACAGCUCUUGAAGCAUUGGGGUUAUAGUGAUUGCAGUUUCUGCCGUGAAAGGUUGAAAUCAGCUGUAUUCAUUCUGAAACAAAAUGGUUUCAUUUGAUCUUAUUUCUUUGGAUUGAUUAAUGUCUUUAGAAUUAAAAUAAAAAUGUAACUUAAGUUGUUGACUGAUUGGAUUUUAAAUCACACAGAAUUGUUUUCUAUAUAUUUGUUUUUGGUCUUUGUUAAUUAUUACAAUAAGUUCUGCCCAGUGGGUAGAAUAAAUGUCAAAUCAUUCAUGUCACUGCUGAUCUCUUUACUGUACACCUGUUGUGUAACAAAUAUAAAACUCACUUUUACAACUGGGUGUACGGCAGAAAACAGACUGUUUACUGUGCUGACAGGGAGUUAGCAGGUGUGAUAAAGUUUAUCACACCUGCUAACUCCCUGUCAGCACAGUAUGAUAUGUGCUCAGUUGCAGAACAUCCUACUGGAUCAGCAUUAUGUAAAAGUUGGGUUCUCCAUAAUACAGUGUAAUCAUGUUUUGUAUUGUUGUAAAGCCGUUGUUAUGGGAACAAGUUUUGGUGACUUGGGUGCUGUGGUGCAAAAGAUCUUGAUACCUAUGGGUCAGCACCCAGCCAGACACAAAGGUUACUCAGUGUGGUAUGCUUACAGACAGUGCAAGCUGGCUCAUUAAUGUACUGUUUUUUAUGUUUGUGUCUAUAUUUGAUGUCUUGGUGUUUGCUUUUUUAGUCUCCUCCAUCUACUAUGCAUAAUUGUUAGCUCAAAGGAAAUGUUAAAACACAAUGAAUCCUGUACCAGUAGCACUGGGUAAGACUACAUGCGUUUCUUCACCACUCAGGUACUUCCGCUGUUUGGUUUAUCUGAGGGGCUUCUUACACAGAUGGCAGACAAAACCUACAGAUCAUUUACUUAAGGCCUUGAGUCCAAUCAGUUCAAUUUCAGAAGUGGAACUAAUUUUGAAUUUUUUUAUUUUAAUUGGAUUUAAAUUCUGUGUUUCUGUGGACAAAUAUAAAAUAUAGACAAUGAACAACAUUUUUUCCUUUACAUUUAAUCAGACACUCCUAUCCUUAGUGACUCACAUAGAUUUCAUUCUUUUAACUUAUGAUCCAUUUAUACAGCUGGAUAUUUGCUGAAGCAAUUCAGGUUAUGUACCUUAGUUAAGGUUACAACAGCAGAACCGUGCCUAGGAAUCAAACCUAUAACCUUGGACCAUUAUACUAUACUGCCACCCUUAAGACUGAAUGUCAGACUGGAUAUAAAAAUAAUUUUCUCAAUAAUUGUUUCCCUUCUUAUGUUUCUCAUUCCUUUAUGUGACAAAAGAAAGCUUGUAUAUGAAAGACACCAGAAUCCAAGGCCAUCUAUAGUCUGGUUUCUUGACUCACUGGCUGGGAAAUUCUAUGCAACUGCACAGCGAUGAGACCUAAGUGUAUACUUCACCUUAAAUAGAGUGGUACAUAUGCCUGGCUAUUUGUGACAAUAAGGUUAUUUACUUAACUGCUGCAAAGUAUAAGUAUUUAAUCUCAAAUUAAUACCACAAAUAAUUUUGAUACUGGUGGGUUUUAUUCUUUUGUUUCUGGAAUGUAUUGAUGUACUAUGAAAGCAUAAUUAUUGCAUCAAACUGUUUGAAUUAUACAUAAGGGACAAAACUGAAAACACAUUACCAUAGCAAUUUCUGUUAGGCUGAUGUUGUAUUAAAUAAUUUUGCAGUAUCUCUCAUUAAGGGAGAUUUUUUUUCAACCCCUUCAUAUAGCUGGAUAUUUUAAGCAAUUCAAGUUCAAUACCUUGCUCAACGGUAGCUGCAAUGGAUAACUUCUCAACUUGGUUUAACUUCUCGUACACAGUAAGAUGCCUCUGUCUCCCUCUUCCUCCUUUCGACGGUCUUGCAUGUGGCUGCACUUUCCUCUCUCCUUUUUCCUUCCCUCAUUGUAUCACUGUACCCUCCACUUCCGCUUCAUCUGGAUUCUGGUGGUCUACCCAUUUCCUUCCCUUCCCUACAACAAGGUGAGGUACACGUUGCAGUGCCAGCUAACCACAUAGCUGAUAGUUUUUGCUAUUUUGCUUUCUGGUGGCAGUGGCUGCCUUGCAGUUUGCUCCCUGUGCUGGAGAUGAGCCCAGUCUGUGAAUCUCUGUCUCCUCGUGUGACCUUGCAGUGAGAGGAAUCCUGUGAGCCCUGGCUGCCCAUCUCACACUGAUAAGCAGAUUGAAAGCAGCAACUAAGUUUAGCAGGACUAAAUCUGACUAAAUGUAUUAAUCCACCUGAAGAAUGGCUCACAAUUAUUCAGAGAUAAACAGAGAUUGACAAACUACAGACUCCUCCAGACAAUUCUCUGCCUAAUCUCUCUUCCACUUUCCUUUCUCUCCAAUUCUCCUCUCUCUCUGUCUCUGUCUCUUGACUUUUUGACUUCAGAAGUCAAAAACUCUUUCUCUUUCUUUUUCCCUUUCCCUUUCUCUUUCUGUCCCUCCUUGGCCCUGACAGGAAGACUGGCGUUACCGUGACUUCUACAGCCCAUCUCAGGCUGGGACAUUGCCAGAGUGUGCCAGGCCAGAGGGUAAAAGCUGACAAAUGUUAAUACCACAUGGUAUUAACCACAUGGUAUUAACAGUGUACAACUUGAACAUAGAACUGUGCAUUGGAGAGACCAGUCAUGGUAACCUGUGAGGGCCAGGGUCACUGCAGUCUUGUGAUUCUGUGGAUACAAAAGGGAAACCAACCUGGUCAAAUAAUGGGACGUGUGGGAAGAAUUGCAGUAUGCAUUAUCUACCGAAAACAAUGAUUAGUGUAUAGAAUUUUCCCAAAUAUCGCGAAGUAGAUGAGAUACCAUUCCUACGCUAAAUGCGCUGUUUGGUAAAUGCAUUGGCAGUCCUUUUUUUCCAAUUGGGAAAACUCUGCUACUACUGCAUGGAAAUGUGCUCAAAUUCGAAAUCAAAUUUCUACUUUGUAACUUUGUAAAGUA